UGCCUAUGAUGAGUUGCCAUGCUAAUACUGACACAACAGUAAGGAGUUUGAUUGCUCUGUACUGGGGGUGGCUGAGUGCAUCCAACUUUCUGAGGCUUGCAGAAGGCAC